rnacentral:sRNA from 1 species
AUCCGUGUCUCAUAUCAACGUGCAGACGCGAUGGACGGAUGCAGGUGCGAGCCCGCCCGCUGAAGGGCGGUGUGUUGACGGUUUUGGGUGUGGGUUGGAUCGGGUUGUCAGGACGAGAGAAGGAAAG